AUGGCUACCAGGAGAAAGCUUGCUUGUUGGUGGGAAGAUUCCUUUUCAGUUGUCUGAAGGAGACCCAGUAAUGAAUGCCCUUUGUGCCUACACUGGGUUCGUUUAUCUUGACAUGGCCGUCAACUGCAGCUGCAGACCUCAACCUAUGCCAGAAUGAUGGUGGUGACUUGUACAAAGAAAUGUUAGAGAAAGAGCCACUGUAAAGACAACAUUGGUAAGUCCACUUUAUAACUUUAUACAUGCUGAGAUUUGGUGCCAUUGAGAC